UACGGGGGGUGCGAGCGUUGUUCGGAAUUACUGGGCGUAAAGGGUUUGUAGGCGGCCUGCUAAGUCAGACGUGAAAUCCCUCAGCUUAACUGGGGAACUGCGUCUGAUACUGGCGGGCUUGAGGACAAGAGAGGAACGCGGAAUUCCAGGUGUAGCGGUGAAAUGCGUAGAUAUCUGGAGGAACACCGGUGGCGAAGGCGGCGUUCUGGACUGUUUCUGACACUGAAAAACGAAAGCCAGGGGAGCAAACGGG
rnacentral:rRNA from 1 species